rnacentral:rRNA from 1 species
CAGUAGCCGCGGGAAUACAGAGGGUGCGAGCGUUAAUCGGAUUUACUGGGCGUAAAGCGUGCGUAGGCGGCUUCUUAAGUCGGAUGUGAAAUCCCUGAGCUUAACUUAGGAAUUGCAUUCGAUACUGGGAAGCUAGAGUAUGGGAGAGGAUGGUAGAAUUCCAGGUGUAGCGGUGAAAUGCGUAGAGAUCUGGAGGAAUACCGAUGGCGAAGGCAGCCAUCUGGCCUAAUACUGACGCUGAGGUACGAAAGCAUGGGGAGCAAACAGGAUUAGAGACCCCGGUAGUCCCUGUCUCUUAUAC